GCCGGAGUGGUGAAAUUGGUAGACACGUCGGAUUCAAAAUCCGAUGCCCUUAAAAGCGUGCCGGUUCGAGUCCGGCCUCCGGUACCA
rnacentral:tRNA from 6 species